AGAGUUUGAUCCUGGCUCAGGAUGAACGCUGGCGGCGUGCUUAACACAUGCAAGUCGAACGAAGCACCUUGAUUUGAUUCUUCGGAUGAAGAUCCUGGUGACUGAGUGGCGGACGGGUGAGUAACGCGUGGGUAACCUGCCUCAUACAGGGGGAUAACAGUUAGAAAUGACUGCUAAUACCGCAUAAGACCACAGCACCGCAUGGUGCAGGGGUAAAAACUCCGGUGGUAUGAGAUGGACCCGCGUCUGAUUAGGUAGUUGGUGGGGUAACGGCCUACCAAGCCGACGAUCAGUAGCCGACCUGAGAGGGUGACCGGCCACAUUGGGACUGAGACACGGCCCAAACUCCUACGGGAGGCAGCAGUGGGGAAUAUUGCACAAUGGGGGAAACCCUGAUGCAGCGACGCCGCGUGAGCGAUGAAGUAUUUCGGUAUGUAAAGCUCUAUCAGCAGGGAAGAAAAUGACGGUACCUGACUAAGAAGCACCGGCUAAAUACGUGCCAGCAGCCGCGGUAAUACGUAUGGUGCAAGCGUUAUCCGGAUUUACUGGGUGUAAAGGGAGCGUAGACGGAGUGGCAAGUCUGAUGUGAAAACCCGGGGCUCAACCCCGGUACUGCAUUGGAAACUGUCGUACUAGAGUGUCGGAGGGGUAAGCGGAAUUCCUAGUGUAGCGGUGAAAUGCGUAGAUAUUAGGAGGAACACCAGUGGCGAAGGCGGCUUACUGGACGAUAACUGACGCUGAGGCUCGAAAGCGUGGGGAGCAAACAGGAUUAGAUACCCUGGUAGUCCACGCCGUAAACGAU
rnacentral:rRNA from 1 species